rnacentral:lncRNA from 1 species
UUGACAUAUGAGGGGCUUAACCUUCCUUGAUUCAAAUCAAAUUCAUCUUGAUCAAAGAUCAAAUGAAUUGCUUUGUAUUAAGGAUAGGUUGCUUCUUGGUCAAGCAAAAAACCUAAAUCAAUACAAGAUCAUUCUCCUUUUCUUUUGGCAUGGCAAGUUGUAGGAGCUUGGCUUACUAGUCAUGGUCUCUAACUUGUGUUUGUUGCCUAUAGUUUUAUUGACCGGCCUCAGAUAGGUGUGACUACUACAUUAGUCCACUUACGGUUGCUUAAC